GAUGAACGCUGGCGGCGUGCCUAAUACAUGCAAGUCGAGCGAACAGACGAGGAGCUUGCUCCUCUGACGUUAGCGGCGGACGGGUGAGUAACACGUGGAUAACCUACCUAUAAGACUGGGAUAACUUCGGGAAACCGGAGCUAAUACCGGAUAAUAUAUUGAACCGCAUGGUUCAAUAGUGAAAGACGGUUUUGCUGUCACUUAUAGAUGGAUCCGCGCCGCAUUAGCUAGUUGGUAAGGUAACGGCUUACCAAGGCAACGAUGCGUAGCCGACCUGAGAGGGGGAUGGGCCCCACUGGAACUGAGACCCGGUCCCACCCCCUACGGGGGGCAGCAGUGGGGAAUCUUCCGCAAUGGGCGAAAGCCUGACGGGGCAACGCCGCGUGAGUGAUGAAGGUUUUCGGUUCGUAAAACUCUUUUUUUAGGGAAGAACAAAUUUGUAAGUAACUAUGCCCGUCUUGGCGGUACCUAAUCAGAAAGCCCCGGCUAACUACGU
rnacentral:rRNA from 1 species